rnacentral:lncRNA from 1 species
GGCUUAUGGAAAGGCCCCGUGGCUAUUACCAGUUUGCAAAAAAUGAUCUCACACUUCAAAAAAUCAAGGUCUUUACAAGUGCAACCAGGACAAAGAUGCAAAUCAAUAUCAAAUGAAGAACUUGAACAUGUCGCAACUGUUAUAGUGGAAGCUAUGGGUGCUGCACAUGGAUGUAGCCAUACUCAGGCAAUACCCAGACAAGUGGAUAUGUCAUAUUCAACUGUGUGGAUAUAUUUGCAUAAAGUGCCGAAAUUUUUCUCUUAUAACAGGGAUGUCAAACUGGUGGGCCGCAUGCGGCCCUCAAUGUGAUUUUUUGUGGCCCCCAACACUUAACUAAAAUGAAAAUGAAAACAAUAGGCUAUGUUAUGAGAUAAUAGAAAGUAAUUCUCGU